AUUGAACGCUGGCGGCAGGCCUAACACAUGCAAGUCGAGCGGAGCGGCAGACGGGUGAGUAAUGCCUAGGAAUCUGCCUGGUAGUGGGGGAUAACGUCCGGAAACGGGAGCUAAUACCGCAUACUCUCCGAUUAGCCUAGGUCGGAUUAGCUAGUUGGUGGGGUAAAGGCUUACCAAGGCGACGAUCCGUAACUGGUCUGAGAGGAUGAUCAGUCACACUGGAACUGAUACACGGUCCAGACUCCUACGGUAGGCAGCAGUGGGGAAUAUUGGACAAUGGGCGAAAGCCUGAUCCAGCCAUGCCGCGUGUGUGAAGAAGGCCUUCGGAUUGUAAAGUACUUUAAGCUGGGAGGCGUUACCAGCAGAAUAAGCACCGGCUAACUUCGUGCCAGCAGCCGCGGUAAUUC
rnacentral:rRNA from 1 species